rnacentral:rRNA from 1 species
GAUUCUGGCUCAGGACGAACGCUGGCGGCGUGCCUAAUACAUGCAAGUCGAACGAAGCUUUCUUUCACCGAAUGCAUGCAUUCACCGAAAGAAGCUUAGUGGCGAACGGGUGAGUAACACGUAGGCAACCUGCCCAAAAGAGGGGGAUAACACUUGGAAACAGGUGCUAAUACCGCAUAACCAUGAACACCGCAUGAUGUUCAUGUAAAAGACGGCUUUUGCUGUCACUUUUGGAUGGGCCUGCGGCGUAUUAACUUGUUGGUGGGGUAACGGCCUACCAAGGUGAUGAUACGUAGCCGAACUGAGAGGUUGAUCGGCCACAUUGGGACUGAGACACGGCCCAAACUCCUACGGGAGGCAGCAGUAGGGAAUCUUCCACAAUGGACGAAAGUCUGAUGGAGCAACGCCGCGUGAAUGAAGAAGGCCUUCGGGUCGUAAAAUUCUGUUGUCAGAGAAGAACGUGCGUGAGAGUAACUGUUCACGUAUUGACGGUAUCUGACCAGAAAGCCACGGCUAACUACGUGCCAGCAGCCGCGGUAAUACGUAGGUGGCGAGCGUUGUCCGGAUUUAUUGGGCGUAAAGGGAACGCAGGCGGUCUUUUAAGUCUGAUGUGAAAGCCUUCGGCUUAACCGAAGUAGUGCAUUGGAAACUGGAAGACUUGAGUGCAGAAGAGGAGAGUGGAACUCCAUGUGUAGCGGUG